rnacentral:ribozyme from 11 species
AAAAAACAACAAGACAGAAAAAAGAAAACCUGAUUUUUUUUUUUUUUUUUUUU